rnacentral:rRNA from 1 species
UACGGAGGGGGCUAGCGUUGUUCGGAAUUACUGGGCGUAAAGCGCACGUAGGCGGCUUUCUAAGUCGGGGGUGAAAUCCUGGAGCUCAACUCCAGAACUGCCUUCGAUACUGGAAAGCUCGAGUCCGGGAGAGGUGAGUGGAACUGCGAGUGUAGAGGUGAAAUUCGUAGAUAUUCGCAAGAACACCAGUGGCGAAGGCGGCUCACUGGCCCGGUACUGACGCUGAGGUGCGAAAGCGUGGGGAGCAAACAGG